AGCAGCCGCGGUAAUUCCAGCUCCAAUAGCGUAUAUUAAAGUUGUUGCAGUUAAAAAGCUCGUAGUUGAAUUUCGGGGUUAGUAGGUUGGUCGUGCCACUGGUACGUACUGGUCUCACUGACUCCUCCUUCCUGAUGAACUGUAAUGCCAUUAAUUUGGUGUUGCGGGGAAACUGGACUGUUACUUUGAAAAAAUUAGAGUGUUUAAAGCAAGCUAACGCUUGAAUACAUUAGCAUGGAAUAAUGAAAUAGGACGUUCGAUCCUAUUUUGUUGGUUUCUAGGAUUGACGUAAUGAUUAAUAGGGAUAGUUGGGGGCAUUAGUAUUCAAUUGUCAGAGGUGAAAUUCUUGGAUUUAUUGAAGACUAACUACUGCGAAAGCAUUUGCCAAGGAUGUUUUCAUUAAUCAAGAACGAAAGUUAGGGGAUCGAAGACGAUCAGAUACCGUCGUAGUCUUAACCAUAAACUAUGCCGACUAGGGAUCGGAUGAUGUUAAUUUUUAAUGACUCAUUCGGCGCCUUAC
rnacentral:rRNA from 1 species